AGAUAGCAAGAAACCAAACGGUGCAGAGGCAAACAAAGGAACUCUGAGGAUCCCAUCAGCAGUGAUUGCUUUGCACACGAACGGGCUUGCUGGGAGGACUGACCAAACCUCAGUGAUAACAUCAGUGCUCCUCAGCUGAAAGUGGGAAGCUUGUAUUGCUCUACUGUUGUCAUAAGAAGGCACAGACUUUGGAAGCAGCAGCUCGUUCCUCUUACAAAUUUGCAGUGUAUUCUCCUUUUUUCCAUUCUGUACCAUUGAGUGUGAUGAUGGAGAUGCUGCUGUUGGCUUAUUCCCUACCGUCACAGCAGGAGGGGACAGGAGGGAAAAAUCUUUGCUCAGUUUUUUGUUAUGAUCCAUCUUCAUCCAUGAUAUGGCAUCUGCACUAUGGAAUUCCCCCUGAAUGAAAGGGAAUGACAACGUCUUCACCUCCUGAAGACAGGAUACAGCUCUCAGACUGAAUUAGCUGCAGCUGGAUAGCUUUUUGAAAUCUCCACAGUUAUCAGACCUGGAAGAUUUUUCUAUAGUGAUGGCCUGGGCUAGG